GAUGAACGCUGGCGGCGUGCCUAAUACAUGCAAGUCGAGCGAGGUUCUUCGGAACCUAGCGGCGGACGGGUGAGUAACACGUGGGUAACCUGCCUGUAAGACUGGGAUAACUUCGGGAAACCGAAGCUAAUACCGGAUAAUUUCAAGCUUCGCAUGAUGCUUGAUGGAAAGACGGCUUCGGCUGUCACUUACAGAUGGACCCGCGUCGCAUUAUCUAGUUGGUGAGGUAACGGCCAAGCAAGGCCAAGAUGCGUAGCCGACCUGAAAGGGUGAUGGGCCACACUGGGACUGAGACACGGCCCAGACUCAUACGGGAGGCAGCAGUAGGGAAUCUUCGGCAAUGGGCGAAAGCCUGACCGGGCAACGCCGCGUGGGCGAUGACGGCCUUCGGGUCGUAAAGCUCUGUUGUUAAGGAAGAACAAGUAUGAGAGUAACUGCUCGUACCUUGACGGUACUUAACGAGAAAGCCACGGCUAACUACGUGCCAGCCGCCGCCGUAAUAC
rnacentral:rRNA from 1 species